AGGAUUGUUUGAUAGCACAUCGCACAAAGACGUAGUAGUUUCAUCUCUUUCCAUGGUAUUUGAUAUUCUCUCUUUGCUUCAAAUCUAGCUACUGUAAAAUUUCAGUGUUUUAACAUCAUGUUCUAGUUUUUUCAUAAUUUAUCUUAUCUCAGAUUUUGCAUCAUCCCCUUAAUGAUGAUUGAUCUUAUAAUUUUUGUAUUUGGUUUCCUUACAUAAAAGCGUGAAUGAGUGAGGUUAUGAUGGAAUCUAAAUCUGGAAAAGGUUUGGAAGAACCAUGGUACACACUUUUCAAUCAAUUUACCUGCUUUGUGGAAUGGCUGCAUCACUGGUAGAGGUACCGGAAAUAACUGCAGUUCUUGGUGGGAGAAAAGGAGGUUGAUCGUCGUAGCAGCGGCGCAUGUGGGUAGUGUGUAUUCUCGGUCUAUAAAGCACUCGAACAGCUAUUUUGCGUCCUCCCAUGUCGCUCCCAUCAAGUUCAGGCGCCUUAUCAGCAAUGUCUUUACCACAUAUAUUAGCCAGUGCAUGGCUGUAAAAAUCAAGAAAAGACAGGUCAUUAGAUAGAGUGACUGAUAGCUUAAGAAUUAGGAAAAAUGGGAGGAAGAAGACACGACAAACCCUUGGCUAAAAAGGAGUUCCUUGAUCGUUCCGUAUGAAGAGAACAGAUUACACAAAGCGCUCUGGAUAUCAAUCUCACUAAGGGAAGUGUCAUAUCCUUCAACUCUUACCACAACGUUACUGCAAUAAGUAACAGGAUUUUGCACGAGAUGAUAUAUAUUAUCAAUUCACAUGCAUAUUAAAAGCUUCAAACGAAAAUUAAUUAAAAAGGCAGUGUUUUUACUCGUUUGGAUUUUCAGAAAACGGAAAAGGCUUAACAGAGACAUUCCAUCCUCCCAAAUCACUUCCAUUAAGCUGCAAGGCCUUAGGGACUACGUCUUUCCCCACAAGAUAUAUAUGAGCUCGACUGCAUGCAUUUAGCAACAAAAACAACAACAAGUGUUUUCUUUAGCUAAACAUCAAUGAGCUCCGCUGGAAAGUAAUAAUGGAGGAAGAAGAAGCCACAAAACCUGUUGAGAACAUAAACAUCCGUGAUCUCUCCACAUGAAUUGAAAUGUUUUCUCAGCGCCCUCUCAACAUCUUCAUGAGGAGUCAGCCUAGUGUCAAAUCCCCUAACAGUAACCCUCCCAAUGUCACUGUCAUUAUUUGAUAAUAUUAUAUCAUCUUUCUUUUACAUAUACCCAAAAA
rnacentral:lncRNA from 1 species